UCUCCCCUUCCCCCGUCGCUACCCAUCCGGCUCGCUGCCCACCACGCUCUUAUCCCGCCUUCUUUCCCGGCUUUUACCGGGCCCGGCGGUGACCCCGAGAGAACGCUCGGGGAUCGAGAGGCGGUUUUAGGCGGCAGAAUGCGGAAAGGUCAAACACCAUUUCGGUUCAUCCGAAACCCAGAGGCCGCUCACGAAGGCGCAGAAGGCAUCAGAGUAGCUGACUGUGGCUUGGCAAAGUGGGAUCUCGCAACGCCUUAUCUAAUAAAGGUCACCGUCAUUUUAAA